AUGCCACCCAGGUCAUACCAGAGGGAAGAGGUCAUCAAAGCAACGUACGAAGUAGGGGUCAAGGUGUAAUUCCCUAUGUGACCUAUUUGGCACGUGGAUCCAGCAGCUUUGGACGCUUCUAGUUUUUCCAACCAUUUUACGGUUUCUGUCCCCCACAGAUGGGAAGACAGUGUUUGCUGACAAAAAAAGUUGAGAGCUGUACAUGUGUACGUUCUUACGUGGGAGUAUUUUGACACCCUCUUUAAUUAGUGCCAGUUGCAAUAUUCCAGAUUCGGCAAUCGAUUGCAUUGUAGAACAGCUAGUAAAAACUCAACUGGAUAUUGAGAUGCAAACGACCCAAGUAAAGUCUGCCUCACAUGGACUUCUGCCUGAAAAAAGACAGAAGUGCUGCACUUCUUCACACAUGCGCCUUGAAAAGAGCCACCCCUGCGUAUCUCAGUUGACAGAAUGGAGUUGGUAUGCAGAUGAACAGUUUGGCUCUUUUGUAGCGGUAAUGCUUGACAGAGAUGUGGACAGUAAACUGAUCAAAGGAAACUCUGCUUGUGGCAGUGUUUACAAACUUGUCUUAACCAAGAACAUAAAGAAAUAUAGCAAUACAUGAGCAUGUACUGUCCAAAGCUAGUCUUGCGUCUUGUCUAUAUGGUGCGGAUACAUACUGGGUUGUCAGCCUUUGAUACCUGCUGCUCCUUUAGUGUGUUUCCAUUACUGUUGCUUCUACACUAAUGUGGACACAAACUGGACUGAUUUCAUCCGGGGCAGUAGAGGUCUUUAGUAUGUUGCAUGUUGAAUUGAGAAAGAUGUGUCUCCACGUUUCAGGAUCAUAACCUACUAAAGAUUGUUCAGUACACAGAACUAUGUACUUAUGAUCUUGACAGAGGAGCACUGUGGAAGAGAUAUGCAGACAUCUUAAAAAAUCUCUCAUCACUUGCUGCAUCAACCACUACUAGUGUGGAAGGCAAGCUGCUGAUGAUUGUGUUAGCUGGAGAUUGGCCUUGUCAACCAGGCCCCCUACUUCAAAGGCAGCCUCAAGCAUUGGCACAUAAUUGGAGAAGCAGCAGAUGUUAGAGAAACUGUGAUGUUUCAGCACUGUUUAGCAUAGGCUGUAUUAGCUACCAUACUACCUAAGUCCCUUUCAUGCAGACCUCCAGCUGACUCAGUGCUUGUGUACAGUCAUCACCAACAAAGAUGAUAUGAUGGAUGUGACUUGCAAUAGACUGAACUUCUGAUUCGUUUGUACAGGUUUCUGUGCUUGGCCACGUUACAGUGCCGUCAUCCAGCCUUCAAGCAUGGUUCAGGGGAGUGUAACUGUUGAAUAUUUUACUUAGAUUGUAUAUUUGUAAUGUAAGGAGCAUCGUUUUGUCAGUUGUAAACAAAACCAUUGAACUGAAUCGAACUAAAAUUUCACACAAGAAAGAACAAUACACAUGUAUGCUUGUGAUCAUCAACAGCUGGUAUAACAUUGAAUGUGAGAUAUUUGAUAUAUUAUGAGACAUGUUAUGUAUCUUUCCAGAGGGAGUUUUGGGGGACACACUUUAUUUUUGUUUGUGGAACACCCUUGUGAUGGAUCCUCAUGCAUGUCAUUCUCUUAUCUGAUUGUUUGUAGAAGCCAUGAACCACAAAUCAGCAUAUUUCCUUCCAGUUUCCAAUGAGCACUCUGACAGCAUCACUUAGCAUGCCAGUAUUCAACAUUGUGCAGAUCAUCUCUGUAAAGAUGGCUGUGUUGCUUCAGUUGCCACAUCUCUACGUAUGUUCUUCCUGUUAGCAAAGGCACACUGUGACAGCAUCCACUUUCUACAUGCUAAUACAUGCACAGUAUUGUUCAGGGAAAGACAUAUGAAAACCUAUCAGCUUCCGAAGUCGGCAACAUCCUGCUGUCACUACAGUCUCAGCACCUACCAGCUCCCACUCUGUCAGCAACAUCCUGCUGUCACAUGUCCAGCUACCGGUACUUGAAGUUACUGUGUGCUUGUACAUUCUCAGCACCUACUAGCUCUCACUCUGUCAGCAACAUCCUGCUGUCACAUGUCCAGCUACUGGUACUUGAAGUUACUGUGUGCUUGUACAUUCUCAGCACCUACUAGCUCUCACUCUGUCAGCAACAUCCUGUCCAGCUACCGGCACUUGGAGUUAUAGUGUGCUUGUACAUUCUCAGCACCUACUAGCUCCCACUCUGUCAGCAACAUCCUGCUGUCACAUGUCCAGCUACUGGUACUUGAAGUUACUGUGUGCUUGUACAUUCUCAGCACCUACUAGCUCUCACUCUGUCAGCAAC